UCCGACACUGUAGCUUUAAGUUGUUCCUCUUGUUCCGUUGAAUAACAACAUUCUAAAGGCGGGGUUACAAUAGUUUACUUUCACUUUGAUUCUCGUGUCGCAGUUUGUCUUUCACCAACCAAGCUCAGAGCUACAUUGGACACCACACUGUGCAGAACACACAGGGAUCAUGGAGGAACCAUUGUCGGGGCCGAGAGUCACCACUGUAACAUCCAAUUCACAAGGCCGCCACAUCAAUUUCAAAGAAAUAAUUUCCCUCAUUUUCAGAGGUCACAAGAAAACACGACUAUGCAGACACGUGGUGGAGUGACGGAUUACAGAACACCUGCUGCUUAACAACAAGAUGGCUUCUCUCUGCAGGCUGGACGUCCUGAAACAUGCUUUAUGUAACUUUUUCGGCAUGAGAAGAGGUUGAGACGAUCCAGGUGAUUAAAUAUGACUCAAUAGAAAUGUUCAUUCAUAUUUGCCACCUGCACUUGCAGCUUAAAUUGAACCACUGUCUACAGUUUAAUGAUGAAGACAAGGUUCCUCACCAGAACCUUUGGCUCCUCGUCCAAUGGGCUGAUCCUCUUCAUCAUGGGAUUCUGUCAACCUGAUCCACACUUUGUUGGAUUAUUCUCUUGGGAAUAAAAAUCAAGUGUUUCUAUA